CGCCUGUUUAACAAAAACAUCGCCUCUUGCAUAAUAUAAGAGGUCUAGCCUGCCCAGUGACUUAGUUCAACGGCCGCGGUAUCCUAACCGUGCGAAGGUAGCGUAAUCACUUGUUCUUUAAAUGAGGACUAGUAUGAAUGGCAUCACGAGGGUUACACUGUCUCCUUUUUCUAAUCAAUGAAACUAAUCUCCCCGUGAAGAAGCGGGGAUGUGUAUAUAAGACGAGAAGACCCUAUGGAGCUUCAAACUAUUUAGCACUGGCUUUUAUCUAUGUCUACUUCAGAGUCUUUACACUUAUUCUAGCCUCUUGACUAAUAGUUUUAGGUUGGGGUGACCACGGAGCAAAAAUUAACCUCCACGAUGAACAGAGCUACUCUUGAGCCAAAAGACACAACUUUAAGCACCAAUAAACUGACACAAAUUGACCCAAUAUUUUGAGCAACGAACCAAGUUACCCUAGGGAUAACAGCGCAAUCCGCCUUAAGAGCCCCUAUCGACAGGUGGGUUUACGACCUCGAUGUUGGAUCAGGGUAUCCCAGUGGUGCAGCCGCUGCUAAUGGUUCGUUUGUUCAACGAUUAAAACCCUACGUGAUCUGAGUUUCAGACCGGA
rnacentral:rRNA from 1 species